rnacentral:rRNA from 1 species
UAUGGUAAGUGGGGGAAAGCAGCCGCGGUAAUACGUAGGGGGCAAGCGUUAUCCGGAUUUACUGGGUGUAAAGGGAGCGUAGACGGCAAGGCAAGUCUGAUGUGAAAACCCAGGGCUUAACCCUGGGACUGCAUUGGAAACUGUCUGGCUCGAGUGCCGGAGAGGUAAGCGGAAUUCCUAGUGUAGCGGUGAAAUGCGUAGAUAUUAGGAAGAACACCAGUGGCGAAGGCGGCUUACUGGACGGUAACUGACGUUGAGGCUCGAAAGCGUGGGGAGCAAACAGG